GCCAGGUGUGGUGGCGCAUGCCUGUAAUCCCAGUGGCUCGGGAGGCUAAGGCAGGAGGACUUUGAAUUCAAAGCCUGCCUCAGCAAUU
rnacentral:sRNA from 1 species